rnacentral:rRNA from 1 species
GAUGAACGCUGGCGGCGUGCCUAAUACAUGCAAGUCGAACGAGUUCUUCGGAACUAGUGGCGGACGGGUGAGUAACACGUUGGUACCUACCCCGAAGUGGGCAAUAACUGGCCGAAAGGUCGGCUAAUACCGCAUAAUACCGUAAGGUUAAAGCAGUAAUGCGCUUCGGGAGGGGCCUGCGUCUGAUUAGCUAGUUGGUAGUGUAAUGGACUACCAAGGCGACGAUCAGUAGCUGGAUCGAGAGGUUGACCAGCCACACUGGGACUGAGAUACGGCCCAGACUCCUACGGGAGGCAGCAGUAAGGAAUCUUCCACAAUGGACGAAAGUCUGAUGGAGCAACGCCGCGUGCAGGAUGACGGCCUUCGGGUUGUAAACUGCUUUUAUAUGGGAAGAUUAUGACGGUACCAUAUGAAUAAGGACCGGCUAACUACGUGCCAGCAGCCGCCGCCG